CCGCCUGGGAAUACCAGGUGCUGUAAGCUU
rnacentral:ncRNA from 4 species